UAACAAGGAUUCCCCUAGUAACUGCGAGUGAAGCGGGAAAAGCUCAAAUUUAAAAUCUGGCAGCUUUGGCUGUCCGAGUUGUAAUCUGGAGAAGCGUCUUCCGCGCUGGACCGUGUACAAGUCUCCUGGAACGGAGCGUCAUAGAGGGUGAGAAUCCCGUCUUUGACAUGGACUACCAGUGCUUUGUGAUGCGCUCUCAAAGAGUCGAGUUGUUUGGGAAUGCAGCUCAAAAUGGGUGGUGAACUCCAUCUAAAGCUAAAUAUUGGCGAGAGACCGAUAGCGAACAAGUACCGUGAGGGAAAGAUGAAAAGCACUUUGGAAAGAGAGUUAAACAGUACGUGAAAUUGCUGAAAGGGAAACGCUUGAAGUCAGUCGCGUUUGCUAGGACUCAGCCUUGCCUCGGCAUGGUGCACUUCCUAGUAAACGGGCCAGCAUCACUUUUGGCUGCGGGAAAAGGAUCAGAGGAAUGUGGCACCUUCGGGUGUGUUAUAGCCUCUGGUUGUAUACCGUGGCUGGGAGUGAGGAUCUCAGCACGCCUUACGGCGGGGCUUCGGCCACCUUCGUGCUUAGGAUGCUGGCGU
rnacentral:rRNA from 1 species